GGGGGCCCGCAAGCGGUGGAGCAUGUGGUUUAAUUCGACGCAACGCGAAGAACCUUACCUGGGCUCGAAAUGCUAUGGACCGGAGUAGAAAUAUUCCUUCCCCGCAAGGGGCCGUAGUAUAGGUGCUGCAUGGCUGUCGUCAGCUCGUGUCGUGAGAUGUUGGGUUAAGUCCCGCAACGAGCGCAACCCUUACCCCCAGUUGCCAUCAUUUAGUUGGGCACUCUGGUGGAACCGCCUCGGAUAACGGGGAGGAAGGUGGGGAUGACGUCAAGUCCUCAUGGCCUUUAUGUCCAGGGCUACACACGUGCUACAAUGGCCGGUACAAACCGUCGCAAACCCGUGAGGGGGAGCUAAUCGGAAAAAGCCGGCCUCAGUUCGGAUUGUAGUCUGCAACUCGACUACAUGAAGCUGGAAUCGCUAGUAAUCGCUGAUCAGCAAGCAGCGGUGAAUACGUUCCCGGGCCUUGUACACACC
rnacentral:rRNA from 1 species